rnacentral:rRNA from 1 species
CCCCUAGUAACUGCGAGUGAAGCGGGAAAAGCUCAAAUUUAAAAUCUGGCGGUCUUUGGCCGUCCGAGUUGUAGUCUGGAGAAGUGCUUUCCGCGCUGGACCGUGUACAAGUCUCUUGGAACAGAGCGUCAUAGAGGGUGAGAAUCCCGUCUUUGACACGGACUACCAGUGCUUUGUGAUGCGCUCUCAAAGAGUCGAGUUGUUUGGGAAUGCAGCUCAAAAUGGGUGGUAAAUUCCAUCUAAAGCUAAAUAUUGGCGAGAGACCGAUAGCGAACAAGUACCGUGAGGGAAAGAUGAAAAGCACUUUGGAAAGAGAGUUAAACAGUACGUGAAAUUGCUGAAAGGGAAACGCUUGAAGUCAGUCGCGUUGGCCAGGACUCAGCCUUGCUUUAGCUUGGUGCACUUUCUGGUUGACGGGCCAGCAUCGAUUUCGGUCGUCGGAUAAAGGUUGGGGGAAUGUGGCAUCUUCGGAUGUGUUAUAGCCCUCAGUCACAUACGACGGCUGGGAUCGAGGACCGCAGCACGCCUUUAUGGCCGGGGUUCGCCCACGUUCGUGCUUAGGAUGCUGGCAUAAUGGCUUUAAACGACCCGUCUUGAAACACGGACCAAGGAGUCUAACAUGCCUGCGAGUGUUUGGGUGGAAAACCCGAGCGCGUAAUGAAAGUGAAAGUUGAGAUCCCUGUCGUGGGGAGCAUCGACGCCCGGACCUGACCUUCUGUGAUGGAUCUGCGGUAGAGCAUGUAUGUUGGGACCCGAAAGAUGGUGAACUAUGCCUGAAUAGGGUGAAGCCAGAGGAAACUCUGGUGGAGGCUCGUAGCGAUUCUGACGUGCAAAUCGAUCGUCAAAUUUGGGUAUAGGGGCGAAAGACUAAUCGAACCAUC